UACGUAGGGUGCGAGCGUUAAUCGGAAUUACUGGGCGUAAAGCGUGCGCAGGCGGUUCGUUGUGUCGGCGGUGAAAGCCCCGGGCUUAACCUGGGAAUGGCCGUUGAAACUGGCGAACUGGAGUGUGGCAGAGGGGGUGGAAUUCCGCGUGUAGCAGUGAAAUGCGUAGAGAUGCGGAGGAACACCGAUGGCGAAGGCAGCCCCUGGGCUAACACUGACGCUCAGGCACGAAAGCGUGGGAGCAAACAGG
rnacentral:rRNA from 1 species